rnacentral:rRNA from 1 species
ACAUCCAGAGAACUUAGCAGAGAUGCUUUGGUGCCUUCGGGAACUCUGAGACAGGUGCUGCAUGGCUGUCGUCAGCUCGUGUUGUGAAAUGUUGGGUUAAGUCCCGNAACGAGCGCAACCCUUAUCCUUUGUUGCCAGCGGCUCGGCCGGGAAACUCAAAGGAGACUGCCGGUGAUAAACCGGAGGAAGGUGGGGAUGACGUCAAGUCAUCAUGGCCCUUACGGCCAGGGCUACACACGUGCUACAAUGGCGCAUACAAAGAGAAGCGACCUCGCGAGAGCAAGCGGACCUCAUAAAGUGCGUCGUAGUCCGGAUUGGAGUCUGCAACUCGACUCCAUGAAGUCGGAAUCGCUAGUAAUCGUAGAUCAGAAUGCUACGGUGAAUACGUUCCCGGGCCUUGUACACACCGCCCGUCACACCAUGGGAGUGGGUUGCAAAAGAAGUAGGUAGCUUAACCUUCGGGAGGGCGCUUACCACUUUGUGAUUCAUGACUGGGGUGAAGUCGUAACAAGGUAAGCGUACGUGU